GUGAGGUGCUGGUAUGGGGUUUCUGGUUUCCUGUAUGGUUAAUUUUACUUGUAGAGAAACUCUUUGCUGUUCUUUUCCCCCUCAUCUCCAGGUAUUGUCUGCAGGUAUUGCCACUGGUGACAGUGUAAUGGGAUGUGUGUGGUGGGAAGGUUGCAUUCCUGAAGGCUCCAUUUUAUCUCUUCGAUCAAAAACAUGAUUCCAAAGGAAAAGUUAAUUGGAACAACACAGUUUGUGCUAUUCUGCUUGCAAACCAUGACUCACAUCAAGAGCUAUCUCCUGCGGUCACUUUAAGGCAUGCACUGUGUUAAGCAGACUGGGUUAUAGUACUGACUCUGCAAAGAAGGGAGCUUGACAAAGGGUUUUCAUCAUGAAAUGAAUAUUUCAUCGCUGCUUAAGAGAUCUGGUGAAGAGAGAAAUGUAAUAAUCUGAGGUAUCAACUGUCCGUCUCUGCUGGCAAUGUGACUCAUGCCUCUCGCUUGUGAUACCUUCCCUCAUUGCUCCUCCUCUCAGGAGGAAGAGAAUGUAUGUAAUGUUUUACUUUGGACAGCCCAGUUUUUCUCUAGGUUUGAAGAGGCUGUUUCUGGAGCCUGUCUUGCUGCCCUCUCAUUUAUUAUGAGGUAAAAGCUAAAAACAUCACGGUCACAUCCCCAUUGCCUUGGGAUCCCUAAUGCUUGUGUAUGGAUAGAAACAGUGGCAGAUGGGGCACGUUUCUAUCAUACUGCCUCAGAGUUGCUCUUGCAGCUGAAGACUGCAGGGAAUGGAUAGGUUUUGCAGUGCUUAACUGCUUAUAAAGCCUAAUGCUCCCCAAAACGGCACAUCUCUUGCUUUGGGCAGGCUUGGGGUGGCACAAAGCUGGCAGUGCCACCUCCAGCUCUUGGAAGUACGUAACAGCUGAGUCCAUAAGUGAUCUUUCUCUGCUGGCUCGGGAAAAUGAACUAGCAUCUAGUUGAAAAGCUGGGAAUGAUCCAGAGACAAGGCUGUCGAUAGCCUUCCUUAGCCAGCUGCUUUCCAAAAACCAGUUGCAGGGAUAUCUCAUGUGGGUGCUUUGGCUGAUAACAAGGUUGUUUCUUUCCCAGUAUUUUCAUUCUGGUGUCAUUUCAGACUCUUCCUCCAUCUUGCUGUUUGUAGCUGAAUUUCUAGCUCAGGAUCAUAGAGAAGCAGAUUUUGAGCCCCCAAGAUGGUACCUAAUGAGGCAGGUUUGCUCUAGCAAAGUCAAUCAUCCAAGCAAAGCAUCUUCCUUCCUUGACCUAACCAUAAAUGAACAGCCAGCACUCACUAGACCUAAAAGAAGAUUAUCUUGUGUUGGCUCCUACUAGAUGCCAAACUGAAUUGAACUGCUUGGCAGCGUUAUGCUCCGGGGAUGCACGCUGGUCUCAUUUCUUGAGCCCUCAGCCCCUCGGGCUGUUUGGUCUGGCAAACCUUAAGCUAAUCCUACAAAUAUCCUUGCAUUUUAACAAGCAAAGUAUGUGGCAUUGAGAUGGAAAUUUAAUGAGAGGAGGCUGAGGAGCAACGCUGACAAAGCAGUGACCUUUCCUCUGUGGCAAGUCCGACCGGGUCCAUCCUGAGGUGCUGAGAUUAAUGAACACGUUGGUUCCAGCCAAGAGAAAAUGGGUGUUAU